rnacentral:rRNA from 1 species
UUUUCAAAAACAUCGCCUUUUGAAUGAUAUAAAAGGUAAUGCCUGCCCAGUGACCAUGUGUUCAACGGCCGCGGUAUUCUGACCGCGCGAAGGUAGCGUAAUCACUUGUUUUUUAAAUAAAGACUAGUAUGAACGGCCGCACGAGGACCUAACUGUCUCCUUAGUCCAAUCAGUGAAACUGAUCUCCUCGUGCAGAAGCGAGGAUUUUUCCAUAAGACGAGAAGACCCUAUGGAGCUUUAAACUAUAUCUUACCAAUAUUUUUUCCUUUCCCUUUCUAUGGGAUCAGUAAACAGUUAAACUCUGUUUGGUAAAAGUUUUAGGUUGGGGCGACCAUGGAGGAAAAAAGAUCCUCCCUGAUGUUUAUAACUAAGAGUAACAACUCUAAGUAUUGAGAUGCUUAACUUAUAUUGACCCAUUUUAUGAUCAACGAACCAAGUUACCCUAGGGAUAACAGCGCAAUCCAUUUCAAGAGUCCCUAUCGACAAAUGGGUUUACGACCUCGAUGUUGGAUCAGGGCAUCCAAGUGGUGCAACCGCUACUAAAGGUUCGUUUGUUCAACGAUUAAAGCCCUACGUGAUC